UACGAAGGGGCUAGCGUUGCUCGGAAUUACUGGGCGUAAAGCGCACGUAGGCGGCUUUCUAAGUCGGGGGUGAAAUCCUGGAGCUCAACUCCAGAACUGCCUUCGAUACUGGAGAGCUCGAGUCCGGGAGAGGUGAGUGGAACUGCGAGUGUAGAGGUGAAAUUCGUAGAUAUUCGCAAGAACACCAGUGGCGAAAGGCGGCUC
rnacentral:rRNA from 1 species